UAUUAUAUUUUCUAGGAACAGAAAGCUGAAAAAGUGAGUGUUGUCUCUAUUGGUAAAAGUGUACCUUAAAUACAUUCAUACACACACACACUCACACUCCUAAUUAGCAUUAAAUGAGAAUGUGCUUUGACUGUAAUUCAUUAUAUUUGUUCAACAGAGAAAUUGGACUUGACAUUUCAUUCUUUCAAUUACUCCCUCUUACAGGAUAUUAAUGGACAUGCCUAUGUUACUGGUAAACCCAUCAGCCAAGGGGGAAUCGAUGGACGCAUCUCUGCUACUGGCCGUGGUGUGUUCCAUGGGAUUGAAAACUUCAUCAAUGAAGCUUCUUAAUGAGCAUUUUAGGAAUGACACCAGGGUUUGGAGAUCAAAUAUUUGUUGUUAAGGGAUUUGGUAAUGUGGGCCUACACUCUAUGAGAUAUUUACAUCGUUUUGGUGCUAAAUGUAUUGCUGUUGUGAGUCUGAUGAGAGUAUAUGGAAUCCAGAUGGUAUUGACCCAAAGGAACUGGAAGACUUCAAAUUGCAACAUGGGUCCAUUCUGGGCUUCCCCAAGGCAAAGCCCUACGAAGGAAGCAUCUUGGAGGCCAACUGUGACAUACUGAUCCCAGCUGCCAGUGAGAAGCAGUUGACCAAAUCCAACGCGCCCAGAGUCAAAGCCAAGAUCAUUGCUGAAGGUGCCAAUGGGCCAACAACUCCAGAAGCGGACAAGAUCUUCCUGGAGAGAAACAUUAUGGUUAUUCCAGAUCUCUACCUGAAUGCUUGAGGAGUGACAGUAUCUUACUUUGAGUGGCUGAAGAAUCUAAAUCAUGUCAGCUAUGGCCAUUUGACCUUCAAAUAUGAAAGGGAUUCUAACUACCACUUGCUCAUGUCUGUUCAAGACAGUUUAGAAAGAAAAUUGGGAAAGCAUCGUGGAACUGUUCCCAUUGUACCCACAGGAGAGUUCCAAGACAGGAUAUCGCAAAUUAUGCGCACAGCCAUGAGGUAUAACCUGGGAUUGGACCUGAGAACAGCUGCCUAUGUCAAUGCCAUUGAGAAAGUCUUCAAAGUGUACAAUGAAGCUGGUGUGACCUUCACAUAGAUGGAUCGUGGCUGACUUCCUCACUACCCUCUUCACCUGUAACUUCUGCAGACCUAUCACAAGUUUACAUGUAACCACAGAAAUCCCUUUCUCUCCUGACUCAGUAAUAAUGGAUACCAUUCUCAACAAGUCAAUGCAAAUCAGCCCCGAAGGAGAAAGAAAUUAAGGUUAGGGGAUCAUGUACAAGCUGAGUGUGAAAGUAGAAAUCACCUACACCAGAGAGCCAUUUUGGUAUUUUGCCUUUAAAUAAAAAGUCUCCUCCAUCUGGCUGUGCAGCCUUGCUCUGUGGCUUUUCGCAAAACAAUCAGUGCUAUUGCUGGGGAAGGGACAGUCAAGAGCAGUCAGUUGCUUGCUUAUUUUGCUCUGGACGAGUCUGGGACACGCUGUAACUUUAACACAUUUAAGAAGUAGGUGUGUGGCCUUUUCAGAAGGUGGCAUGGUCCUCAAGUGAGUUCUUAGUAUUUUAUAUCAGCAAAAUAACUCAAUUUUGCAGGUUGCAGACAAAUAUAAAAGCUGUUUCUGUUUAUGAAUUCUAUUCUUUUAGAAUAAAAUAAGUAUAUGCUGCUGUAAUAAAAUUGUCUUUAAUCACUUAACAGGCCUAACCUUGACUCAAACAGUGAAUGCCUAUAAAAAUAAUAAAUGAAAAAAACUAGUAUCAUAAAACAGUGUCAUUUAUAGCUUAUCAGUCAUGUAUUAUUGUCCAGCAAACAUUAAAAGCCUUGUAGAUAAUUAAGUUUUCUUCAUACCUGCAAAAUGGUGGAGGCUAUUUUGGUUAAAACUGUCAGAAUUUGCUAACUGUAAUUGACACAUAGUCCAAAAAAUGCAGUGACCUUUUUAUCAUGUUACUAAUUGUUCUCUUUGGAAGAUCCAUGGUUGACUAAUUAAACGGUAAUUCAAGUAGAGUGUCCAAGAAAAAAAACCACCUGGGCUCUCUGUUUGGAGUCUGGCUGGCUCUGAGCAUUGCCAAUGGCCCCUACUCACCUGACUUUGUGUCCUCUCCUUUUAGAGGCUUUCCAUUCUGCACCCAACUUCGCUAACAGUGGGCUGAAAACAACCUUGGGUUGAGUGUUUCGUUUGGGAGUUAUUUGGCCAGGGCCUUUUGAACAGUAGUGUCCCCAUGAAGUGCUAAAUAAUGUUAUGUGUAAGAAUGAGCUUUUUUUUUUCUUUUAACUGUAACACCCUUGAGAAAUUUCUAACUACUUUGUAACUGCAUGGCUUAACCAGGUGAUAAAAGCAAGUAUUAAAAGUCUACGUUUUCCAAAACUUAUGUUUCUUUUCUGUGUUUUUACAUGUGGUAGUUUCUCUUUUCAUAAGUUAUAACACUGCAAUUGGAUUUCUGAAAUGUUUAUAGCGACUACCCAUAUAAUAUUUCCUUCCACUUUAUUGUGAGCUGCCCAGAUUUUAUUCUUGAAUUUUUUUUUCCCAGCGCUCUACAUGUUCCGAGAAACUUCCCUAGUAACGAACUAUAGAAAUGAUCCCUGAAAGCAUAGUCUUUAUUCUCGAAUUAUUUUGUAUUUUAUUAAAUAAUAUCAACAACU